AUCAUGACAGAGGUUUAGCAAAGCUUAUCCAUGGCACGUAAACUUUAUUUUAGGGGUUGACCACGCUUUCGGCGUAGUGACUGUGACACUUUGGUCACCUAAUAAUGUCUUGUUGAGCGUUCGGUUGUACGACAAGACACUCAAAGGAGUCAGCAGUUCAGUUUUUCUGCUGCCAUUGGAACCUGACUCCUGCUACCGCUUCACUCCUUCCAUCCACCGGACCAGACAACCAUCACUGGGCCCCACCACUAGCCGGCCUACUGUCUUCCUCUGACGGACCCGCUCCUUCCCAGAAACCACCGUACCAGUUCUCCAUCCUGGAAACCUGGACUUGCUUUUUGAUACUUGAGUACUUUAAAUAAACCCUGUUAAUUCACA